rnacentral:lncRNA from 1 species
ACCAAAUCAACAUAAGAAUAUUUACUUUUAAUUAGUAUAAAUUAUACAUUUGUAGGCAAUAAUGUCUACAACAUGUAGACAUGGCGUGAAUUCUUGCAGGUUUGCAACAAUGAAUUUCUCCUAACUAGCUUGAACUCGUUGGAGAGGAGCAAUCUAGUGGCCUCCGCCCAGCUCACUUCCACAUCCAUUGCAGAACGUCAAAAUGAAUCUCCUAGCUAUUUAUAAACAAGAUUCACAUCAAAAGCUAUAAUUAAAUUGAAUCACUUGUGUUGUGUCUUAAUCCCAACAAAAUUCUGUAAAUAAAAAGGCAUCGACAACAAUAAACCAAAAAUAAUGAGAAAAUAAUACCUCAUGAACUUGAAUCAACCCCGCCAUUCCCAGCAGUUCUCAUUCCCAGCCACAAAGGCAAAUCAGCCCCACCCCGAACUCCACCGGCUUCGACAGGAUCAGAUCCACCCAGAUCACUGUGAAGAUCUUCGAAAAUCGAGAAGAAGGCUGGCAAAUUUGGGGAUCUAGGAUUUGGAAGAAACAGUGAAAUCGCCGGAGAAGAAAGAAGAAGGAGGGUCCGCCUUGCUGUUCUCCGGUGAAAUCGCCGGAGAUAGAGGAGGACAGAGCCGCCUUGACGGUG